AUGGAGACGACCAACGCGCGCCCGGAGAAGCGCCACCGGAUCGCCGCCGCCGCCGCCGCGGCGGCUGCCGUUCCAGACGACGUUCUGUUCUCCAACAUCUUGGUGCACCUCCCGGUGAAAUCCCUCGCUCGUCUCAAGUGCGUGAGCCGAUCAUGGCUCGCCGCCGUCGAGGACCCCGCGUUCGUCCGCCGCCACCUCGAGCUGUCCCGCGCGAGGCCGUCGGCGAUGAUCGUCGUCGUCCCUCCCAAGGAUGGCAGUAUAAGCUUCCACCGCUUCCGACAACUACAGGUAGUGGACACGACAACCAUGGACGACAGCAGCGAGGUUGAGCUGAUGCUCGAGAGGGCGUUCCCGGAUGGGGUCGAGAUAGACGUCGCCACGCACUGCGACGGCCUCAUCGCCGUCACGACGGACGCCGGCGAGACAUUCGUCUGCAACCCAACCACCAAGGAGCUCGUCACGCUGCCGCUCGGCAUCAGCUGCCACAACGGCUGCGUCGUCUGGGAUCGGUUCGCGGCCAUCGGCUACGAUCCGUGGCGCAGCCGGUACGUCGUCUGUAGGUACUUCCGCCGGCGCUACCCAAACAGGACCGCCGGCGCCGAAAUCGGGCAUGAGAUCUUCGUUCUCGGCGGCGGCGGCGGCGGCUCAUGGGAGGCCACCGAGGAUCCACCACCAACCAGCGCCAUCGUGCCGGCCAGCACUCCGCCGGCUUGCAUCGGAGGGUGCUUCUACUGGUGCACCAACGAGGACGUCGGCAACCCGAGCAUGUUGCUCCGGUUUAGCCUUCGCAGCCACAAGUUCGACCUGGUUCCAUGCCAUCCGGGCUGCUCAUCCGACGUCUUCGCAUUCAACACCGUGUCGGAGCUGGACGGCUCAAAAACCGCCGCCGCUGCUCCAUCCCCCUCCGGCCCUCUUCGUCCGCGCUCACCCCCGCUUGAGCAGCUCGCCGGAAAGGCGGGCAGCAGCAAGAACGACUGCGGCGGAGCUCCUUCUCUCCUCUUCCACCCCCUGAUAGCACCAUGCGCCUAUGCGGGUUGUGGUCACCGAAUCCCUGUCAUGUGGCAAUGGGGUUCUCAGAUAUAGACCAAUCUAU
rnacentral:lncRNA from 1 species